GAGUUUGAUCGUGGCUCAGAUUGAACGCUGGCGGCAGGCCUAACACAUGCAAGUCGAGCGGUAGAGAGAAGCUUGCUUCUCUUGAGAGCGGCGGACGGGUGAGUAAUGCCUAGGAAUCUGCCUGGUAGUGGGGGAUAACGCUCGGAAACGGACGCUAAUACCGCAUACGUCCUACGGGAGAAAGCAGGGGACCUUCGGGCCUUGCGCUAUCAGAUGAGCCUAGGUCGGAUUAGCUAGUUGGUGAGGUAAUGGCUCACCAAGGCGACGAUCCGUAGCUGGUCUGAGAGGAUGAUCAGUCACACUGGAACUGAGACACGGUCCAGACUCCUACGGGAGGCAGCAGUGGGGAAUAUUGGACAAUGGGCGAAAGCCUGAUCCAGCCAUGCCGCGUGUGUGAAGAAGGUCUUCGGAUUGUAAAGCACUUUAAGUUGGGAGGAAGGGCAGUAAAUUAAUACUUUGCUGUUUUGACGUUACCGACUAGAAUAAGCACCGGCU
rnacentral:rRNA from 1 species